rnacentral:rRNA from 1 species
UCGAGCGGUAUGGAGAAGCUUGCUUCUCCAGAGAGCGGCGGACUGGUGAGUAACACGUGGGUGACCUACCCUUAGGAUGGGGAUAGCCACUAGAAAUAGUGGGUAAUACCGAAUGUGGUUGCGAGACUGUGGUCUUGCAAAGAAAGGAGCUACGGCUCCGCCUGAGGAUGGGCCCGCGUCCCAUUAGCUAGUUGGUGAGGUAACGGCCCACCAAGGCGAUGAUGGGUAGCCGGCCUGAGAGGGUGAACGGCCACACUGGGACUGAGAUACGGCCCAGACUCCUACGGGAGGCAGCAGCUAAGAAUAUUCCGCAAUGGACGAAAGUCUGACGGAGCGACGCCGCGUGGAUGAAGAAGGCCGAAAGGUUGUAAAAUCCUUUUGUCGAUGAAGAAUAAGCAUGGGAGGGAAUGCCCGUGUGAUGACGUUAGUCGGCGAAUAAGCCCCGGCUAAUUACGUGCCAGCAGCCGCGGUAACACGUAGGGUGCGAGCGUUGUUCGGAAUUAUUGGGCGUAAAGCGCGCGUAGGCGGUUGUGUAAGACAGGCGUGAAAUCCCCGGGCUCAACCUGGGAACUGCGCUUGUGACUGCACGGCUAGAGUACGGCAGAGGGGGGUGGAAUUCCACGUGUAGCAGUGAAAUGCGUAGAGAUGUGGAGGAACACCGAUGGCGAAGGCAGCCCCCUGGGUCGAUACUGACGCUCAUGCACGAAAGCGUGGGGAGCAAACAGGAUUAGAUACCCUGGUAGUCCACGCCCUAAACGAUGUCGACUAGUUGUUGGAGGGGUAAAACCCUUUAGUAACGUAGCUAACGCGUGAAGUCGACCGCCUGGGGAGUACGGCCGCAAGGUUACUGUCG